rnacentral:rRNA from 1 species
GGGUUAGUAGGUUGGUCGUGCCUCUGGUAUGUACUGAUCUCACUGAUUCCUCCUUCCUGAUGAGCCGUAAUGCCAUUAAUUUGGUGUCAUGGGGAAUUAGGACUGUUACUUUGAAAAAAUUAGAGUGUUUAAAGCAGGCUCACGCUUGAAUACAUUAAUGGAAUAAUGAAAUAGGAUGUUUGAUUCUAUUUUGUUGGUUUCUAGGAUCGACAUA